rnacentral:rRNA from 1 species
UGACCCGUUCCUGAAGCACGGACCAAGGAGUUCAGCGUGUACGCGAGUCAUUGGGUGGUAAAACCCAAAGGCGUAAUGAAAGUGAAGGGAACUUCACGUUUCUGAGGGAGGAUGAGUCGGUUACCCGCAAGGGGCUGCUCCGCACUCCCGGGGCGUCUCUUUCUCAUUGCGAGUGGAGGCGCACCCAGAGCGUACACGCUGAUACCCGAAAGAUGGUGAACUAUGCCUGGCCAGGACGAAGCCAGGGGAAACCCUGGUGGAGGUCCGCAGCGAUUCUGACGUGCAAAUCGAUCGUCGGAGCUGGGUAUAGGGGCGAAAGACCAAUCGAACCAUCUAGUAGCUGGUUCCCUCCGAAGUUUCCCUCAGGAUAGCUUGCGCUCACGUGAAAGAGUCUCAUCCGGUAGAGCGAAUGAUUAGAGGCCUUGGGGUCGAAACGACCUCAACCUAUUCUCAAACUCCAAAUAGAUGAGAACUCCGGCUUUCUUGAACUUUGUUUUUGAAGCCGGGGGCUCGGAUCAGAGUGCCAAGUGGGCCAAUUUUGGUAAGCAGAAGUGGCGCUGUGGG